CCGGAAGGUGGGUUGGUUCUGUAUCUAAUAACCACUGCCCUUCCAGGGGAAGAGGCAUGUGCGCAUGUAUUAGCCAUAGAAUUCCCACGGGUAUCCAUGUAGUAAAGACCAUCAAAUAACCUAUAACUGUUUUAAUGAGCCAUUCGCAGUUUAGCCGUAUAAAAGCUUAUACUUAGACAUGCAUGGCUUAUUCUUAAAGACAAGCAUAUGA